AUUGAACGCUGGCGGCAGGCCUAACACAUGCAAGUCGAACGGCAGCACAGAAGAGCUUGCUCUUUGGGUGGCGAGUGGCGGACGGGUGAGUAAUGUCUGGGAAACUGCCCGAUGGAGGGGGAUAACUACUGGAAACGGUAGCUAAUACCGCGAACGUCGCAAGACCAAAGUGGGGGCCGUUCGGGCCUCACACCAUCGGAUGUGCCCAGAUGGGAUGAGCUAGUAGGUGGGGUAACGGCUCACCUAGGCGACGAUCCCUAGCUGGUCUGAGAGGAUGACCAGCCACACUGGAACUGAGACACGGUCCAGACUCCUACGGGAGGCAGCAGUGGGGAAUAUUGCACAAUGGGCGCAAGCCUGAUGCAGCCAUGCCGCGUGUAUGAAGAAGGCCUUCGGGUUGUAAAGUACUUUCAGCGGGGAGGAAGGCGGUGAGGUUAAUAACCUCGCCGAUUGACGUUACCCGCAGAAGAAGCACCGGCUAACUCCGUGCCAGCCGCCGCCGUAA
rnacentral:rRNA from 1 species